UGAGUGAGUUGGUUUUUCUGUCCCGAGUUAUAUCAUUUGUUAGUGGUGCUGUGUAUUAACAGGUGUAACAUAACAUGUAAAAAUAUAUUUAUCAUUCUUUACAGUUUUACAAGUUUACAGUGAAGAAUAUGCUGUGUGUUCAGUUGGUAUUUCUUUACAGUUUAUGUUUACAUUGUACCACCGACCUUAGAUCUUAAAAAUGAGUUGUACAUUGUCAAAAAUGUAUAGAAAAAAGUUUAUUUAUUGUGGAUGUGAAAGUGCAAUGAAAUUUUUCUUU
rnacentral:misc_RNA from 1 species